rnacentral:rRNA from 1 species
UGAGGAAUAUUGGUCAAUGGGGGCAACCCUGAACCAGCCAAGUCGCGUGAAGGAUGAAGGUCUUAUGGAUUGUAAACUUCUUUUAUACAGGAAUAAAUUGGGGGACGUGUCCCCUUUUGCAUGUACUGUAUGAAUAAGGAUCGGCUAACUCCGUGCCAGCAGCCGCGGUAAUACGGAGGAUCCGAGUGUUAUCCGGAUUUAUUGGGUUUAAAGGGUGCGCAGGCGGGAUGUUAAGUCGGCGGUGAAAUUUUGCAGCUCAACUGUAAAAGUGCCUUCGAUACUGGCUUCCUUGAGUGUAGAUGAAGUAGGCGGAAUUUGUGGUGUAGCGGUGAAAUGCUUAGAUAUCACGAGGAACUCCUAUUGCGCAGGCAGCUUACUAAACUACAACUGACGCUCAUGCACGAAGGCGUGGGGAUCAAACA